rnacentral:rRNA from 1 species
GCCUAACACCCAGCCCUACUUGACCCAAAUGCAACCAACCCAACAACUGCAAGUCAAUAAAACAUUUUAUCACCUAGUAAAGGCGAUUAAAAGGUACUUAGGAGCCUCAACACCAGUACCGCAAGGGAAAAGUGAAAUAGAGCUGAAAUAGCUUUAAAGCACCACAAAGUAGAGGCCCCCCCUCGUACCUUUUGCAUCAUGGUCUAACUAGAAAAACCAAGCAAAACGAACUUUAAGUUUGACGCCCCGAAACUAAGCGAGCUACUUCAAAACAGCCUUCAUGGGCCAACCCAUCUCUGUUGCAAAAGGGUGGGAAGAUUUUCAAGUAGAGGUGACAAACCUACCGAGCUUAGAGAUAGCUGGUUAUUCAGGAAAAGGAUAUUAGUCCAACUUUAAAUCUUCUUGUAACACUAAAUGCCCCCAAAGAUUUAAAUUUCAUUCAAAUAAGGUACAGCCUAUUUGAAACAGGGUACAACCUAUGACACAGGGUAAUGUUUUUGACCACAUGACCAAGUAGGCCUAAGAGCAGCCACCUUUAAAAAGCGUUACAGCUUCAUCAUAUACUACACUAAUCCCAACCUAACCCCAAAACCCCUCACCCACACUGAAUGACUCCAUACAAUUAUGGAAAACCUUAUGUUAGAACUAGUAACAAGAAUUGCAUUUCUCCUCCAAACGUAAACAUAAACCGGAUUGAACAGCUCACCGGCAACUACCGCUAAUGAAUCAACAGCAAUAACAACACAAGAAAAUCCUGCUCUAUUUCAGCGUUAACCUUACACAAGAACCUUACAGGAAAGAUUAAAAAGAGAGGAAGGAACUCGGCAAAUAUUAACCCCGCCUGUUUACCAAAAACAUCGCCUUCUGUAACCUAAUAGAAGGUCCAGCCUGCCCAGUGACAAACUUAAACGGCCGCGGUACCUUAACCGUGCAAAGGUAGCACAACCACUUGUUCUUUAAAUAAGGACUAGCAUGAAUGGCACCACGAGGGUUCUACUGUCUCCCCCCCCUAAUCAGUGAAACUAAUCUCCCCGUGAAGAAGCGGGGAUGACCCUAUAAGACGAGAAGACCCCAUGGAGCUUUAAACUCAGUACCACUUGCAUACUUGAUAUCACUUUAAACUAGCAAAUCUGCUUCACUAGUUUUUGGUUGGGGUGACCGCGGAGUAAAGUAAAACCUCCACGACGAAAGGAACCUCCUCCUCCUAAUCAAAGGGCUACCACCCACAGAAUCAGCACACUGACCUAAAUUGACCCAAUACUUUGAGCAACGAACCAAGUUACCCUGGGGAUAACAGCGCAAUCCAUUUCAAGAGCCCCUAUCGACAAAUGGGUUUACGACCUCGAUGUUGGAUCAGGGUAUCCCAGUGGUGCAACCGCUACUAAAGGUUCGUUGUCAACGAUAAA